CGUGUCCACUGCUGCACCUGUGUGGUUUCCUGGGAGCAGUGAUCUUACUGUAGGGGGAGGGGGGCAGUGUUUGGACCACUGCUGCUGCUCUGUCCUCACUGCUGAUGCUUCCUGCUGCUGCUGCUGCAUCUCCACUGAGAGCAUCAGCACCUCCUCCCUGGGCGUGACUCCUGGAACGUGAGCCUGCACUCCCCUGGAGGAGCUCUGAGAUACGGCCGUUGACCGCCCGCAGUGGCAGCUUGGCUGCCAGACUCCCCCCUCGAAGGCGGCUCAGAGACUGGGUGGACCAGGACCCUGAAGCUGGACCCUGCUGCUGCUGCUGCUGCAGACUGUGGGCGGAGCUUUGGAGCUGAGGAGAUCAAACGGGUUGACCAGAGAAUUAGUUUAAAACUACACAAAAACUGAUCUGAGUCAUAAAAACUGAGUCGUAGUCCUCAGCAUAUCCUUCACUCAUAACCUGUCGUAGAUCUCGCAAACAGAGGACCCCGGGUUGUGCAUGAAAACCUCAUCAAACCUUGGCACAUAUACAAACAUUUUCACUAAUAAAAUAGUAGGGAUCAAAGAGGGGAUCACCUCUGUCCCCACCUACUCUC